rnacentral:SRP_RNA from 2 species
GCCAGGUAUGGUGGCACUCACCUGUAAUCCCAGCUACUUAGGAGGCUGAGGUGGGAGGAUUGCUUGAGCCCUGGAGGUCGAGGCUGCAGUGAGCCGUGAUGGCACCACUGCAGUUUGGCCUGGGCAACAGAGUGAGACUCUGUCUCAA